AUUCUGGCUUCGGUAACACAUAUACUAAAAUGGGAACCAUACAGAGAAGAUUAGCAUCGCUCCUGGGCAAGGAUGACGUGCAAAUUCAUGAAGUGUUCCAUAUUUUU
ensembl:snRNA U6 U6 spliceosomal RNA